UACCAGCACCCCGAGUGGUCGGGACGUUUAUUGGGCCUAAAGCAUCCGUAGCCGGUUCUACAAGUCUUCCGUUAAAUCCAACUGCUUAACAGGUGGGCUGCGGAAGAUACUAUAGAGCUAGGAGGCGGGAGAGGCAAGCGGUACUCGAUGGGUAGGGGUAAAAUCCGUUGAUCCAUUGAAGACCACCAGUGGCGAAGGCGGCUUGCCAGAACGCGCUCGACGGUGAGGGAUGAAAGCUGGGGGAACAAACCGG
rnacentral:rRNA from 1 species